rnacentral:rRNA from 1 species
CCUACGGGAGGCAGCAGUGAGGAAUAUUGGUCAAUGGGCGCGAGCCUGAACCAGCCAAGUAGCGUGAAGGAUGACUGCCCUACGGGUUGUAAACUCUUUUUAUAAAGGAAUAAAGUGAGGCACGUGUGCCUGUUUGUAUGUACUUUAUGAAUAAGGAUCGGCUAACUCCGUGCCAGCAGCGGCGGUAAUACGGAGGAUCCGAGCGUUAUCCGGAUUUUUUGGGUUGAAAGGGAGCGUAGAUGGGUUGUUACGUCAGUUGUGAAAGUUUGCGGCUCAAACGUGGAAUUGCAAUUGAUACUGGCUGUCUUGAGUGCAGUUGAGGUAGGCGGAAUUCGUGGUGUAGCGGUGAAAUGCUUAGAUAUCACGAAGAACUCCGAUUGCGAAGGCAGCCUACUAAACUGCCACUGACGUUGAUGCUCGAAAGUGUGGGUAUCAAACAGGAUUAGAUACCCGUGUAGUC